GCUCCAUGGGGAGGGGGACGGGGAACCGCGGGGGGGGAAACCCCACGACCAGUGAAAAAGAGAGAAACCCGCCGAUGGCCCACGCAAGUGGGAUCAGGUAAGGGUGAAAGGGUGCGGUAAGAGCGCACCGCGCGGCUGGUAACAGUCCGUGGCACGGUAAACUCCACCCGGAGCAAGGCCAAAUAGGGGUUCAUAAGGUACGGCCCGUACUGAACCCGGGUAGGCUGCUUGAGCCAGUGAGCGAUUGCUGGC
rnacentral:RNase_P_RNA from 1 species